rnacentral:rRNA from 1 species
CGGGGUGCAGCAGGCGCGAAACCUCUGCAAUAAGCGAAAGCUUGACAGGGUUAUUCUGAGUGAUUUCCGCUAAGGAAGUCUUUUGGCACCUCUAAAAAUGGUGCAGAAUAAGGGGUGGGCAAGCCUGGUGUCAGCCGCCGCGGUAAUACCAGCACCCCGAGUGGUCGGGACGAUUAUUGGGCCUAAAGCAUCCGUAGCCGGUUCUGCAAGUCUUCCGUUAAAUCCAGCUGCUUAACAGUUGGGCUGCGGAGGAUACUAUAGAGCUAGGAGGCGGGAGAGGCAAGCGGUACUUAGUGGGUAGGGGUAAAAUCCGUUGAUCCACUGAAGACCACCAGUGGCGAAGGCGGCUUGCCAGAACGCGCUCGACGGUGAGGGAUGAAAGCUGGGGGAGCAAACCGGAUUAGAUACCCGGGUAGUCCCAGCUGUAAACGAUGCAGACUCGGUGAUGAAUAGGCUUCGUGCAUAUUCAGUGCCGCAGGGAAGCCGUUAAGUCUGCCGCCUGGGGAGUACGGUCGCAAGACUGAAACUUAAAGGAAUUGGCGGGGGAGCA